CCUACUCUCAAGUAAAAUAAAAAUAAAACUAAUUGCAAACCUAACUAAUCGCAAACCUAACUAAUCUAACCUAACCUACGCAAAUGAUGAUGUUGCGGCUCUCAGCAUGUGCCAGAGCGUUCACAGUUGCUAUGGAAACCACCUAGCGUCGCAGCCCGUUGCAGCGCGUUGCAGCCAGUGUGAACUGCCCAGUUUUAGAACAUCGCAGCCCGUCUCGUUGCAAGGCGUUGCAAGGCUUUGCAAGGCGUUGCAAGGCGUUGCAAGGAGUUGCGAGUUGCAAGCCGUUGCAAGGUGAAUCUUUGGUCUGAACUGGGCUUUAGUGUGUAUCUGACACUGACCAGCAUGGGAUCAUGCAAUGUUUGUUUCAGAAUCAAGACAUCAACGUGAGGCGUGAUUGCGUUUUGAGAUGUCUCAGCAUCUACCUCUGUGAAGACCUGGACACAUUGGUCAAAGAAUACGUGGAAGUAAAUCCAAAUGGUCCGGAGGGGCCUGAGGUGAAGGGACGGGUCCUGGCACCUAAGCGUCUCCAAUCUGCCAGCAACAAUUCUGCCCCAAACAAGAAGGAUGCAUGUUGUGGACUCUCAGCUUAUGAGCUCCAACGCCUGAAGAACAUCGGGGAGAGGGAAGCCUUCUUGUUGUCCUUGAUGUUAUUGCAAGCAGCUGAGGAUCUGAGGCAGACUAUAAAGCCAAAGCCGGAUGUGAAGAGGUAAGUCAUAAAACAGUGUAGUAGUAAGGAUACAUUGUUUUGUUUUGGCUGUUGGGGCUGAUUCUAUUUAGUAGAAUGGGGCAUUUGCAAGGGUUGAUGGGUUAGGGAAGAGAAGGUCAGGAUAGGAAGAGAUUAGUUCCUUCUAUUUGCUAACAGGAAACAGAAGGAGGUUAGGAGAGAGGGAGGACGGCAUGAGAGAGGGUUGGAUAGGAGGGAGUAAACCUUACCCUAUGAGAGGAGAUUAGGAGAGAUGGUGGAGGGUAGGAGUGAGGGAGCAGUAGGUUUGCCUCUUUCCUACUGUCCUUUCACCCUACUUUGGCUCUUUUAGGUAUUGGUUACUUAUGAGAAUAUUUUCAUAAACCUCACAGAUUUUUUACAUUUUUAAGGGAUGUUUUGUUGACUCCAUUUUUAUUGUGGCAGGUCAAAGGCUUUGUUGGAUAAAGUGCAGUCUCUUCUGUCUUCCCGGAAAUCCUUGCGUCUUAAGGAAGCACAAAACCUUAGCCUCAGAGUAGGACGAACCUAUGAACAUGUAAGUUAGUCUCUUAUGUUUCAUGUGCACCAUUAAAUAUUCACUAAAUUAAAGGAUUACCGUAAGAGUAUUAAUUUUAAGCAAUGAGACACGACAUGCCAUUCUUUACGGCACAGAGUUACCACAAACACGGUAAGGAAUGGCAUCUAGAUUCUUUGACGCAACCCUCAUUGUGAUCAACAAUGCUCAAACACCACUUUUUUUUUUAAAUCAUAUUUAAAUAGUUGAUCAUUGAAUGUACAACUCCAUUUAUACAUAACGUGACUUUUUGUUUUGUUUUCCAGGCUUUUAGGGAGUCAAAGAUCUUGAGGUCAUUGUAACCUUGAACUCCAUCCCAUUCUCAUGAACGCUAUAUCUACAGUGCCUUAAGGGAAUUUUUUCAAAUUAACACGCACUUGGCCUCAAUGAUAAGCUGCUUAGAAUUUGGUGGUCAAAGGUGAGGGUGACACAGCUCAUUGUUCUCUGUUCCCUCCAUCUUUCAGGACAUCGAAUGCAGUGAGGCCGAGGCAGAUGUCGCAGGGACAACCAUGGCAAUCUACACCGUUCAAGCUGAGGGUGAUGAUCAUGAUGGUCCUGGUGGACUCUUUGCAGAUGUCGGUAUGGUCCUGGAAGGGGUCAAAGUUCUCAACAACCUCAAAAGUAUCAACCAUGCAUGCGUAAUGCUUUAUGGGUUGAUCUAUGCUCUUAAUUUAAGCUAUCCAAAAAACUUGAAGUAUACAUUCGAAGCUUACCAGAAGAUCCUGAUGGACCUGGAAUCGUCCAAGCCUUCCCCCAAAGUACAAGCACUGAAACUCAAAUUGCUCAGGUGACUCUUUUUUUGGGGUGGGGUGGUGAUGGGAGGAGGAAGUACAGGAAGAGACCGCCCAUACAUGCUGAUAACCAUGUGUUUUAUAGUGUUCCAGUACGUUCACAACCUUGAAGAUUCACACAUCGAACACACAGAAAGCUAGAAACGGAAGGUGCUCAGUUAACUAUGUUCUACUACUAUAUGUUUAAUGUUGUUGAGCCUGUAGAGUUUGUUCUGUCCUUUCAAUAUAUCCCAUUACUGCGAUCGUUCCAGCAGAUACAGAUGUAAGGAAUGUUGU